GGCAGGUGGCGAAGGCGGAGAGAGCUGCUGGCGGAAGGAGGCAGUGACUGUGGUGAUGGAGCUGAUGACAGAUGAGGCGCAGCGGCUGCCUCUUCGGCUUCCGCUUUGCUGGACCCAGGAUGAGAGUAUGCUGUCUUCAGAGAUUGAAACACACUAACUGAAUUAUUUUUGAGUUUCCAUAUUUAGGUAAAAUCUGUACAGAUAAAAUUCCAUAAGUGCACUCUUCAAAAGAUUAAAGAUUGAAAGCAAGUAAACCUUUAAAGAAAGAAAAGAUGAAGAUGAAAGACCUUUUGUCAAGCUUGUUUUAACCACCAUACUGCAGUAAAAAAAGUUACUGAACUAUCUUUGGAUCCAUUCUUUGCUUUGCAUGCUGGAACAACAGAACUGGACUCUGGGUAAUCCAUGACUGUUUUCUCUGAUGUGUGUCUUCAGGACAUAAAGACUAUCCUUCUCUGGACUGUGCCUUACCGCUCAAUAUGGAAGUCCUGUUGCUGUUACAGGAUCAACCAAUUAAAUUAGGGGAGUAUUGUUUUAACUCCAUUCCUUAUAUUGCUUGUUUUGUAUUUUCUUGUAUUUGUUUUAUUUUUAUUGAUCAUAUUUGGUCUAAGAAAUCAUAUGCUUCAUUGGUAUUAGUGCACAUUGUAGUUUAUGUGCUUAACAAAGUAACUCUUUAGAUAAGUGUAACUGUGAACUUUGCAGUAUUGUACCCUAUUGAAUGGCCCACUGAGUAUAAGAAAAUAUGUUCAAGGAAAAUGCUGCAACAUAGCAUAAUAUUUUAGACCCUUCACCCUUUAGAACAUAAGGAGGACACGUCUAAGCUAGAAGUUUAUAGUAAAUAUACAGAGAAAUGUUUGUUCAGGGAAUAGCAUAAUUAUGGGUUAUGAAAGCAAAUGUAUUUUUCCCUUUUAUUAAUUAGUAUGGUAUCUGCAAAGUGAAUUUGGUCAUUCCUGAUGUUUGUCAAAGAGAGUAAUUCUUACCAUAAAGAUGUGUUUACCUUUAAAAGAGCUUGUAGUUUUAAAUGAUGUUCUGUUUGUAUGCUUUCCUCAUAUAGGAGUGUGAGAGAAUUUAGGUUGGAGAAUUAUAAACAUUAUAGAUAGCAGCCAUCCAGAAUAAAGCAACACAAGGUUCUUUUAUUUUUUUUAGAAGUUCAAAGUAACAGUGUAAAGAAAUUCAUUAAUUUUCAUUGACUGUUUUUCUUUUUUUCCAUUCUUACUACAGGGCAGGCCUUAGCAUAAGUUUUGGUAUAACCCUUCAGGCCCUUGAUGAAGUCUGACAGGAUUUCACUUGCGUAGUAUUCAUGAAGUAUCAUUUAAAAGUGUAUAGAGAAGUUGUAAAUUAUUCUCUGAGAAAUGUCAAUGUAUUUAGGUUGUAUUAUAUAUCAACAAUGUUUUGUUUGAUUUUAAAUGACAUAGGAUGAAAGUGACAUUUUAUUUGGACAUAAUUGUGAUUGUAUUGCGGUGUGUACUCAUCCUGUACUGUUUCUGUUUGCUUUCUAGACUCCCUGUGACUCGAGUGUCUGCUUGCCAUGGGUAUCCACUGGUUGCCUUGUCUACCCCAUGAACAAACCAUCAGAUUUCCAGUAUCUCCCUGCGGAAGAACCGUGGAUAAGCACCCCUACUGCAAAUGAACUGUUGGAGAACUGUAUUAUAGCAAAGUGUCAAGGUGCAGCGCUCUCAAAUGGACAAAGACUGUUCUUAAAGUAUUCAGAGGCCACCUAGAGACAGUUGUGCUGUUGCUAUGUCAUGCUUUACUGUGGAAAAGGAACUGUUGGACAUAUUGGGGGGUGCUAGCAAUGCAGGUGGAGAGAUAGAAGAUGCAGCGUUGUUUGGGGGUAGAUGGGGGGCUGGUUGGAUCUCUGUGCUGGUAGACCGGUAGUUUUGGGAGGGCUGGAGGAUAGAUGGAAGGUAUUGGAGGGACUGUACCUAUAUGCAGUGACAAUUAGCCUAUAAAAGUAUAUCACGACAUGCGAAUAUUUUUCUCUUUAGUAUUCUCACAGAGUUCUGUUACCAUAAUAUAAGGCUUUACUAAUUUUCUAUGCCUGUCUAUUUUUAUGUUAUUCUGUUAGAAUAAAAGGAUGGUAUGUUAGGGGUAAUAUGAACCUGAUGGCAGCCAUCUUGUUCUUCGCAGCCAUCUUGUUCCUCGCAGCCAUUUUGUAAUGAAUAGACUUUAUUAUACUGGGGUAUUAUGCAGUGAGAAUUAUAUGCAUGUUAUGAGUUUCUUUAGCUAUUCGGCCUUGCCAAUGUACCCUGGCCUAAUGCCUAGAAGUAAGAUAGAAUAAGAUAAUGUAAACAAGAGGCUUUAGACACUCGGUUGUCUCUGCAGAUGGUAGUUUGUUAUGACUCUGUAAAUAUUGUUAUGAGAAACUCAUGUUCCAGUUUUUCCUUGUAAAUUGCUCUGUAUAAUUGUGUAAGAUGACGCGGUCCUAACGUGUCAUCCCCUUAACCCUGUAUGUUACUAUAAGAAAGGCUUGCACUGUGCAAUAAACAGAAUUGGCUUUCGAUCAUAA